rnacentral:lncRNA from 1 species
AGACCGUGUCCCGCGGGGCUGUCACCUCCGCCUCUGCUCCCCGACCCGGCCAUGCGCGGCCUCGGGCUCUGGCUGCUGGGCGCGAUGAUGCUGCCUGCGAUUGCCCCCAGCCGGCCCUGGGCCCUCAUGGAGCAGUAUGAGGUCGUGUUGCCGUGGCGUCUGCCAGGCCCCCGAGUCCGCCGAGCUCUGCCCUCCCACUUGGGCCUGCACCCAGAGAGGGUGAGCUACGUCCUUGGGGCCACAGGGCACAACUUCACCCUCCACCUGCGGAAGAACAGGGACCUGCUGGGCUCCGGCUACACAGAGACCUAUACGGCUGCCAAUGGCUCCGAGGUGACGGAGCAGCCUCGCGGGCAGGACCACUGCUUCUACCAGGGCCACGUAGAGGGGUACCCGGACUCAGCCGCCAGCCUCAGCACCUGUGCCGGCCUCAGGGGUUUCUUCCAGGUGGGGUCAGACCUGCACCUGAUCGAGCCCCUGGAUGAAGGUGGCGAGGGCGGACGGCACGCCGUGUACCAGGCUGAGCACCUGCUGCAGACGGCCGGGACCUGCGGGGUCAGCGACGACAGCCUGGGCAGCCUCCUGGGACCCCGGACGGCAGCCGUCUUCAGGCCUCGGCCCGGGGACUCUCUGCCAUCCCGAGAGACCCGCUACGUGGAGCUGUAUGUGGUCGUGGACAAUGCAGAGUUCCAGAUGCUGGGGAGCGAAGCAGCCGUGCGUCAUCGGGUGCUGGAGGUGGUGAAUCACGUGGACAAGCUAUAUCAGAAACUCAACUUCCGUGUGGUCCUGGUGGGCCUGGAGAUUUGGAAUAGUCAGGACAGGUUCCACGUCAGCCCCGACCCCAGUGUCACACUGGAGAACCUCCUGACCUGGCAGGCACGGCAACGGACACGGCGGCACCUGCAUGACAACGUACAGCUCAUCACGGGUGUCGACUUCACCGGGACUACCGUGGGGUUUGCCAGGGUGUCCGCCAUGUGCUCCCACAGCUCAGGGGCUGUGAACCAGGACCACAGCAAGAACCCCGUGGGCGUGGCCUGUACCAUGGCCCAUGAGAUGGGCCACAACCUGGGCAUGGACCAUGAUGAGAACGUCCAGGGCUGCCGCUGCCAGGAACGCUUCGAGGCCGGCCGCUGCAUCAUGGCGGGCAGCAUUGGCUCCAGUUUCCCCAGGAUGUUCAGUGACUGCAGCCAGGCCUACCUGGAGAGCUUUUUGGAGCGGCCGCAGUCGGUGUGCCUCGCCAACGCCCCUGACCUCAGCCACCUGGUGGGCGGCCCCGUGUGUGGGAACCUGUUUGUGGAGCGUGGGGAGCAGUGCGACUGCGGCCCCCCCGAGGACUGCCGGAACCGCUGCUGCAACUCUACCACCUGCCAGCUGGCUGAGGGGGCCCAGUGUGCGCACGGUACCUGCUGCCAGGAGUGCAAGGUGAAGCCGGCUGGUGAGCUGUGCCGUCCCAAGAAGGACAUGUGUGACCUCGAGGAGUUCUGUGACGGCCGGCACCCUGAGUGCCCGGAAGACGCCUUCCAGGAGAACGGCACGCCCUGCUCCGGGGGCUACUGCUACAACGGGGCCUGUCCCACACUGGCCCAGCAGUGCCAGGCCUUCUGGGGGCCAGGUGGGCAGGCUGCCGAGGAGUCCUGCUUCUCCUAUGACAUCCUACCAGGCUGCAAGGCCAGCCGGUACAGGGCUGACAUGUGUGGCGUUCUGCAGUGCAAGGGUGGGCAGCAGCCCCUGGGGCGUGCCAUCUGCAUCGUGGAUGUGUGCCACGCGCUCACCACAGAGGAUGGCACUGCGUAUGAACCAGUGCCCGAGGGCACCCGGUGUGGACCAGAGAAGGUUUGCUGGAAAGGACGUUGCCAGGACUUACACGUUUACAGAUCCAGCAACUGCUCUGCCCAGUGCCACAACCAUGGGGUGUGCAACCACAAGCAGGAGUGCCACUGCCACGCGGGCUGGGCCCCGCCCCACUGCGCGAAGCUGCUGACUGAGGUGCACGCAGCGUCCGGGAGCCUCCCCGUCUUCGUGGUGGUGGUUCUGGUGCUCCUGGCAGUUGUGCUGGUCACCCUGGCAGGCAUCAUCGUCUACCGCAAAGCCCGGAGCCGCAUCCUGAGCAGGAACGUGGCUCCCAAGACCACAAUGGGGCGCUCCAACCCCCUGUUCCACCAGGCUGCCAGCCGCGUGCCGGCCAAGGGCGGGGCUCCAGCCCCAUCCAGGGGCCCCCAAGAGCUGGUCCCCACCACCCACCCGGGCCAGCCCGCCCGACACCCGGCCUCCUCGGUGGCUCUGAAGAGGCCGCCCCCUGCUCCUCCGGUCACUGUGUCCAGCCCACCCUUCCCAGUUCCUGUCUACACCCGGCAGGCACCAAAGCAGGUCAUCAAGCCAACGUUCGCACCCCCAGUGCCCCCAGUCAAACCCGGGGCUGGUGCGGCCAACCCUGGUCCAGCUGAGGGUGCUGUUGGCCCAAAGGUUGCCCUGAAGCCCCCCAUCCAGAGGAAGCAAGGAGCCGGAGCUCCCACAGCACCCUAGGGGGGCACCUGCGCCUGUGUGGAAAUUUGGAGAAGUUGCGGCAGAGAAGCCAUGCGUUCCAGCAUUCCACGGUCCAGCUAGUGCCGCUCAGCCCUAGACCCUGACUUUGCAGGCUCAGCUGCUGUUCUAACCUCAGGAAUGCAUCUACCUGAGAGGCUCCUGCUGUCCACGCCCUCAGCCAAUUCCUUCUCCCCGCCUUGGCCACGUGUAGCCCCAGCUGUCUGCAGGCACCAGGCUGGGAUGAGCUGUGUGCUUGCGGGUGCGUGUGUGUGUACGUGUCUCCAGGUGGCCGCUGGUCUCCCGCUGUGUUCAGGAGGCCACAUAUACAGCCCCUCCCAGCCACACCUGCCCCUGCUCUGGGGCCUGCUGAGCCGGCUGCCCUGGGCACCCGGUUCCAGGCAGCACAGACGUGGGGCAUCCCCAGAAAGACUCCAUCCCAGGACCAGGUUCCCCUGCGUGCUCUUCGAGAGGGUGUCAGUGAGCAGACUGCACCCCAAGCUCCCGACUCCAGGUCCCCUGAUCUUGGGGCCUGUUUCCCAUGGGAUUCAAGAGGGACAGCCCCAGCUUUGUGUGUGUUUAAGCUUAGGAAUCGCCUUUAUGGAAAGGGCUAUGUGGGAGAGUCAGCUAUCUUGUCUGGUUUUCUUGAGACCUCAGAUGUGUGUUCAGCAGGGCUGAAAGCUUUUAUUCUUUAAUAAUGAGAAAUGUAUAUUUUACUAAUAAAUUAUUGACCGAGUUCUGUAGAUUCUUGUUAGA